rnacentral:rRNA from 1 species
UACGUAGGGGGCUAGCGUUGUCCGGAAUCAUUGGGCGUAAAGCGCGUGUAGGCGGCCCGGUAAGUCCGCUGUGAAAGUCCAGGGCUCAACCCUGGGAUGCCGGUGGAUACUGUCGGGCUCGAGUCCGGAAGAGGCGAGUGGAAUUCCUGGUGUAGCGGUGAAAUGCGCAGAUAUCAGGAAGAACACCCGUGGCGAAGGCGGCUCUCUGGGACGUGACUGACGCUGAGACGCGAAAGCGUGGGGAGCGAACAGG